rnacentral:misc_RNA from 1 species
UUUCCGUAGGUGAACCUGCGGAAGGAUCAUCCAUAAUAAGUGUUUUAUGGCACUUUUUUAAAUCCAUAUCCACCUUGUGUGCAAUGUCAGGGUUGAUUUUUCUCUCGAGAGGAUCAGCCCCAAACAUCAACUAUAUCUCAACUCUUUGUCUGAAAAUAAUAUGAAUAAAACAAUUCAAAAUACAACUUUCAACAACGGAUCUCUUGGCUCUC